rnacentral:rRNA from 1 species
AUUGAACGCUGGCGGCAUGCUUUACACAUGCAAGUCGAACGGUAACAGGCCGCAAGGUGCUGACGAGUGGCGAACGGGUGAGUAAUGCAUCGGAACGUGCCCAGUCGUGGGGGAUAACGCAGCGAAAGCUGCGCUAAUACCGCAUACGAUCUAUGGAUGAAAGCGGGGGACCGUAAGGCCUCGCGCGAUUGGAGCGGCCGAUGUCAGAUUAGGUAGUUGGUGGGGGAAAGGCUCACCAAGCCGACGAUCUGUAGCUGGUCUGAGAGGACGACCAGCCACACUGGGACUGAGACACGGCCCAGACUCCUACGGGAGGCAGCAGUGGGGAAUUUUGGACAAUGGGCGCAAGCCUGAUCCAGCAAUGCCGCGUGCAGGAAGAAGGCCUUCGGGUUGUAAACUGCUUUUGUACGGAACGAAACGGUCCUGGUUAAUACCCGGGGCUAAUGACGGUACCGUAAGAAUAAGCACCGGCUAACUACGUGCCAGCCGCCGCAGUAAAAC